ACACGUAUCUUCCACCGCUUUUUCGCUUUUUCCCUAGCGGUUCCCUCCAAUGGAUUUAAUCCACAUUCGUAACACUUGCCUAAUCCUCAGCCUGAUAGGUCUCACUGCUCUGCUUCUUUGAGAAAACCACCAUUGCCUCUUUGUCCAUGUUAUGCCCACCGCCCCUCUCUCCCGAUCAGCUGCUCCACUGCUUUUGUUACCCAGUCGGGUGUUCAUCGGGUUGCUAUCUCCAUGGUCACCACCUCCACCACUUACUUCCUAUGUACGAUCCAUCUUCUUUCUUCUAAUCUCCCUCUACCUGUUAUCAGCUCCAAAUGGGUGUAGAGAAAUAACAGGUCGGAGAGGAAAACGAAGGAAUCGCCAAGGUAGUCGGCGUCUUGUUGUGUCGAAGACUAAUUCCUGUCGUUGUCGACAUAAAGGCUUUUGGGUGUCGGCUAUUUCAGGCACAUAUUUUCUUCAACGUCUGAUUCUAUAUCACUUCCUCUCCUGUCGCUUUGCUCUUUAGAUGUCUGUGGCGUGCAACGACAGAAUGUCUUCUCCACCCUGCAUCGCCCCCAUCAAAAGCGUUUCUCAUCCUCACUGUCUUCAGCUGCCAUCCUUAAAUCGUAGAUAUGUUGUUGCCUGGACUGGAAGAUGUAACACAAACUGUGGAUAUCGAUUGGUUGUAUCCAAUACAAGUGAAGGCUAUAAGCAAUUUACAGUUUGGAGUGCUCAUUAGAAAAAGGAACGCUACGUAUCGACACAGGUGACCCGUCAAUCGCGCCCGGUUGAUACGUGUUCUGUUUAAGGGCUUUUCAAGAGGAACCCGGGUAAGAGAAUCCUCCCCCGCUCUCCGCCGUAUGUCGUCGACUCCCAUGUGAAGCCUUCGACCGGUACUAUUUUUCGAUUUUUUAUAACCUUUUUUGUUUGUUAAUACUAUAGUUUUGGCAAAAAGAUCUCAAUAAACACAAAUUUAAUAAAUAGAUUUUAUAUAACAUAAGUUUUUAUGGUGAUUGAUUAUUCUAAAAUCUUCUUUUUAUAUAUCAAGCUUACAUGUAAUGAUUUAUGCCCUCGGGUACUGGAAUCCAAGUUUAAGGAGUGUUGGCAACACUAGCUGUUCCCUUCCGGUUGAUAUGCUCAUAUAAUGUAAUCAUGAAUUCCAGUUUAAAUAGUAGGGUAAAGUUUAUAAUUUUUCUCACUUCAUUCACUUGCUAUUAAUUUAAAUUAUUAUUACAAUGCUUCUUAUAUUUGUUUUUCUCAGGUUCCGCUGAUGCAUUAUCACUUAUUAUGCAGGAAGAACAUGAAGGCAUCAUUUUUUUUACUAAUGUCUAACAUGUUGAUUCUAUUCCUAAAGAAGACAAUGACUCUAUCUCUGAACCCUUGGGUGAAGAGUCUGAAUCUGUUUCAACCAAGGAACCUAGGAAUGGAAUCACCAAUUCCAUGAAGUCAAGUGAUGAUGGGAGUGGAGCUUCAAGUAGUGGACGAGCCACCAUGAAUCUUUACACCUAUACCUAUCUUGAUGAGCAACCAUGAAUCAAAUUACAUACUAUGUUCUGAAACGUUUUUAUUUUGGUAGUUUCUUUAAUGAUAGUUCUCUCAUCUUUUUUCAUUCCAGGAAAAUUAGGUGGACAUCUGCAUUAUACAAGUGAUAAUGGUGUUGACGAUUGCAGUUGCACUUGCUCUAUCUCUUCCUUCAUUCGUUACUGCUAAAACCUUCUUUUUCGUCGUUGGUACGCUUAAUAGUUUUUUUUAGCAAAACCUAAAAUUUAGUUUUCGAUCUAAUCUAAUUUAACAACAAUGGAUGUAUUGAUCUGUUUCUGGUGUUGGUUGGAGUUGGAUUAUUUAUGUUUCAUUAAAUUAAAUAAAUUUUAUAAAUCAGAAAAAAAAAAUUCAUAAGAUACAUUCAAGUUUAAUUUUUGGGUUGAAAAUUUUGAUUCGUUAAUGAAUUGUUUUAAUGAACUAUUGUGAGGACUACACUUGGGGUACGUAUGUUUUUAUUUUCAAUUCUUUCUGAAUGUUUUUUGUUUGAUUUAGGAUUUUUGAAAAUUGUGAUUUUUCAUUUUUGGUGUUGUUUUUAGUUAGCAAGUUUUGGUCCUUACCUAUGGAAGAGAAAUGUGAUAGCAAUGUCAUUUGCACCUACACAUAACCAUGAAGCACACGUUUAGUUUGCUCUUGAAAGAAGAGUGCCAACUAUCAUUCGUGUUAUAGGUUCCAUUAAAAUGUGAUUUCCUUCUAAAACUUUUCACAUGGCUCAUUGCUCCCGCUGCUUGAUUCCAUGGUAUUCAAAUGAUGGAAAGUACAUGAUGGAAAUUGACCAAGUUCUUAAACCGGGUGGGUAUUGGGUUCCGAUGAUAUUUGGUACAAGAAAAUGGAAUCGUGUGUGAGACCUGGAAGUGGAGGUGAUUAGGUGGUGUUUCUUGAACGACUUUAUGAUGCGUUCCAACUGAUGAUAGUUAGCAGUUUGAUUACGGGUCUGUCGGUUGAGAAAUAUAUGGAGGAUGGUAAAAAAAAUAGAAUAUACGUGGGAAUGGUUAUAAACGGAUGAAUGAAAUGAUUGAUUCUAGAAGGUAUCAGAAUGUAAUGGAUAUGAAUACCACUUUCGAAUGAUUUGCACUUAGAAUUCAUUCCUCCAAGUUGUGGGUUAUGAAUGUUGUUCCUACUUCUGCUGAGGCAAAUACUCUUGGAGUUUAUUUACGAGUGUGGCCUUAUUGGCAUAUAUCACAACUGGGGUGACGUGUUUUCGACGAAUGCAAAGAAGGUAUAGUAAGCACAUUAUUCGUAUUCAGCUGUUCCAUUCAGUUGGAGAUUAUAGACUUUGAAAAAAAAGAUAAUAAAAUCUCAAGAUUUAUGAUCA